rnacentral:rRNA from 1 species
CCUACGGGAGGCAGCAGUGGGGAAUAUUGGGCAAUGGGCGCAAGACUGAACCAGCAACGCCGCGUGAAGGAAGAAGGCUCACGGGUUGUAAACUUCUUUUAUCAAGGGCACAGCAAGUGACGGUACCUGAUGAAUAAGCCACGGCUAACUACGUGCCAGGAGCCGCGGUAAUACGUAGGUUGCAAGCGUUAUGCGGAUUUACUGGGUGUAAAGGGCGUGUAGGCGGGAAAGCAAGUCAGAUGUGAAAACCAUGGGCUCAACCUGUGGCCCGGCUUUGAAACUGGUUGUCUUGAGUACGGGAGAGGCAGACGGAAUGCGUAGUGUAGCGGUGAAAUGCGUAGAUAUUAGGAGGAACACCAGUGGCGAAGGCGGUCUGCUGGAUAGAAACUGACGCUGAGGCGCGAAAGCGUGGGGAGCGAACAGGAUUAGAUACCCGAGUAGUC